UCCUACGGGAGGCAGCAGUGGGGAAUAUUGGACAAUGGGGGCAACCCUGAUCCAGCCAUGCCGCGUGUGUGAAGAAGGCCCUCGGGUUGUAAAGCACUUUCAGCGAGGAAGAACGCCUAGCGGUUAAUACCCGCUAGGAAAGACAUCACUCGCAGAAGAAGCACCGGCUAACUCCGUGCCAGCAGCCGCGGUAAUACGGAGGGUGCAAGCGUUAAUCGGAAUUACUGGGCGUAAAGCGCGCGUAGGUGGCUUGAUAAGCCGGUUGUGAAAGCCCCGGGCUCAACCUGGGAACGGCAUCCGGAACUGUCAAGCUAGAGUGCAGGAGAGGAAGGUAGAAUUCCCGGUGUAGCGGUGAAAUGCGUAGAGAUCGGGAGGAAUACCAGUGGCGAAGGCGGCCUUCUGGACUGACACUGACACUGAGGUGCGAAAGCGUGGGUAGCAAACAGGAUUAGAUACCCUGGUAGUCCACGCCGUAAACGAUGUCGACCAGCCGUUGGGUGCCUAGCGCACUUUGUGGCGAAGUUAACGCGAUAAGUCGACCGCCUGGGGAGUACGGCCGCAAGGUUAAAACUCAAAUGAAUUGACG
rnacentral:rRNA from 1 species